CAGAGGGUGCGAGCGUUAAUCGGAAUUACUGGGCGUAAAGCGUGCGUAGACGGUUAUUUAAGUCGGGUGUGAAAGCCCCGGGCUCAACCUGGGAAUUGCAUUCGAGACUGAAUAGCUAGGGUACGGUAGAGGGAAGUGGAAUUUCCGGUGUAGCGGUGAAAUGCGUAGAUAUCGGAAGGAACAUCAGUGGCGAAAGCGACUUCCUGGACCAGUACCGACGUUCAGGCACGAAAGCGUGGGGAGCAAACAGGAUUAGAUACCCUGGUAGUCCACGCCAUAAACGAUGAGGACUAGACGUUGGAGGGGUAAGCCUUUCAGUGUCGUAGCUAACGCGCUAAGACCUCCGCCUGGGGAGUACGGCCGCAAGGUUG
rnacentral:rRNA from 1 species